rnacentral:rRNA from 1 species
AUGUUGCAGCACCUCGAUCUGAAGGACGAGGAGCUGGAUGAUGUGAUAGUAGGGGAAGAGGAGGUUAAGAAGUUUGAGGCAGAGGCACGAUGGAUGGCGAUCGGUAAGCUGAACACGACGCGUCCCUUUAGCUCCUCGGCGAUGUUUGAAACUUUAAAAUCAGUAUGGGGACUAGCGCAUGUGCCGAAGUACAGAGAGGCUGGAGACAACCUUUUUGUGUUCCAGAUGUUUUGCUUGGGUGAUUGGAAGAAGGUCGUUCAUGGCGGCCCAUGGCUGUUCAAGGGGAUGGGGUUGCUAAUCGAGGACUAUGAUGGCAAGACAGACCCAGCAUCGGUGGUCUUUGAUGGACUGUACGUGUGGGCACAAAUUCACAAUAUCCCCGAUUUAUACCGCAAGGUUGAAGUGGUGGAUCAGCUUGCUCGCCGCAUAGGCCGUGUGAAGGAGACUCAACUCGCUCCCAAGUUAUAUUACAAGGGAGAC